rnacentral:tRNA from 1 species
AGGCGCGUAGCUCAGUUGGUAGAGCGCUACCUCGACACGGUAGAUGUCGUUGGUUCAAGUCCAAUCGUGCCUA